rnacentral:rRNA from 1 species
CUUGACAUCCCGGAGACCCUUAGGAAACUAGGGGUGACUUCCAUCUGGAAGAAUCUGGAGACAGGUGCUGCAUGGCUGUCGUCAGCUCGUGUCGUGAGAUGUUGGGUUAAGUCCCGCAACGAGCGCAACCCUUGCCUUUAGUUGCCAGCAGUUCGGCUGGGCACUCUAAAGGGACUGCCGGUGUUAAACCGGAGGAAGGUGGGGAUGACGUCAAGUCCUCAUGGCCUUUAUGACCAGGGCUACACACGUACUACAAUGGCCGAUACAAAGGGCAGCGACACUGCGAGGUGAAGCCAAUCCCGUAAAAUCGGUCUCAGUCCGGAUUGGAGUCUGCAACUCGACUCCAUGAAGUUGGAAUCGCUAGUAAUCGUGGAUCAGCAUGCCACGGUGAAUACGUUCCCGGGCCUU